rfam:Oryza glumipatula chromosome 3, whole genome shotgun sequence.
AAUAAGACAAACCCUGAGUUUCCGUGUCCAACAUUUAACUGUCUGUUUUAUAUGAAAUAUUUUUAUAAUUAGUAUUUCCAUUGUUGUUAGAUGAUAAAACAUGAUUAAUACUUUAUGCGUGACUUGCCUUUUUAAUAUUUUUCAUAAUUUUUUCAAAUAAGACGGACGGUCAAACGUUGGACACGGAAACCCAGGGUUUGUCUUUUU